rnacentral:rRNA from 1 species
CAGCAGCCGCGGGAAUACGGAGGGGGCUAGCGUUGUUCGGAAUCACUGGGCGUAAAGCGCACGUAGGCGGACUUUUAAGUCAGGGGUGAAAUCCCAAGGCUCAACCUUGGAACUGCCUUUGAUACUGGAAGUCUUGAGUUCGGGAGAGGUGAGUGGAACUGCGAGUGUAGAGGUGAAAUUCGUAGAUAUUCGCAAGAACACCAGUGGCGAAGGCGGCUCACUGGCCCGAUACUGACGCUGAGGUGCGAAAGCGUGGGGAGCAAACAGGAUUAGAUACCCCUGUAGUCCCUGUCUCUUAUAC